rnacentral:rRNA from 1 species
UAGUAAUGAGGGUUCGAUCCUGGCUCAGAUUGAACGCUGGCGGGAUACUUUACACCUGUAGAUCGAACGGCAGCACGGACUUCGGUCUGGUGGCGAGUGGCGAACGGGUGAGUAAUGUAUCGGAACGUGCCUAGUAGCAAGGGGAUAACUACGCGGCGUAGCUAAUACCGCAUACGCCCUUCGAGAAGCGGGGACCUUCGGGCCUCGCACUAUUAAACGGCCGAUAUCAGUUAGCUGGUUGGUGGGGUAACGGCUCACCAAGGCGAUCCGUGGCGCUGGUUUGAGGAGACGACCAACCACACUGGGAUGACUGAGACACGGCCCAGACUCCUGCAGGAGGCAGCAGUGGGGAAUUUUGGACAAUGGAAACCCUCAGUCCAGCCAUCCCGCGUGUGCGAUGAAGGCCUUCGGGUUGUAAAGCACUUUUGGCAGGAAAGAAGCAACACGGAUAACUGCCCGUGCAACUGACGGUACCUGCAGAAUAAGCACCGGCUAACUACGUGCCAGCAUACGCGGUAAUACGUAAGUGCAAGCGUUAAUCGGAAUUACUGGGCGUAAAGCGUGCGCAGGCGGUUCGGAAAGAAGAUGUGAAAUCCAGAGCUUAACUUUGGAACUGCAUUUUUAACUACCGAGCUAGAAAUUGUGUCAAGAGGUGGAAUUCCGAUAACGGUGAUGCGUAGAUAUGCGGAGGAACACCAUUAAGCGAAGGCAACCUCCUGGGAUAACACUGAUAGCCUCAUGCACGAAAGCGUGAGGCAAACAGGAUUAGAUACCCUGGUAGUCCACGCCUAAACGAUGUCGCUAGCUGUUGGGGCCUUCAGGCCUUGGUAGCCUGGCCGUAAGUUGACCGCCUGGGAGUACGGUCGCAAGAUUAAAACUGCAAGGAAUUGACGGGGACCCGCACAAGCGGUGGAUGAUGUGGAUUAAUUCGACGCAACGCGAAAAAGAGCCUUACCUACCCUUGACAUGUCUGGAAUCCCGAAGAGAUUUGGGAGUGCUCGCAAAGAGAACCGGAACACAGGUGCUGCAUGGCUGUCGUCAGCUCGUGUCGUGAGAUGUUGGGUUAAGUCCCGCAACGAGCGCAACCCUUGUCAUUAGUUGCUACGAAGGGCACUCUAAUGAGACUGCCCGGUGACAAACCGGAGGAAGGUGGGGAUGACGUCAAGUCCUCAUGGCCCUUAUGGGUAGGGGCUUCACACGUCAUACAAUGGUCGGGACAGAGGGUCGCCAACCCGCGAGGGGAGCCAAUCCCAGAAACCCAGUCGUAGUCGGAUCGCAGUCUACGCUCGACUGCGUGAAGUCAAGAUCGCUAGUAAUCGCGGAUCCAGCAUGUCGCGGUGAAUACGUUCCCGGGUCUUGUACACACCGCCCGUCACACCAUGGGAGUGGGUUUUACCGUGGAUUUAGCCUAACCGUAAGGAGGGCGAUUACCACAGUAGGAUUCAUGACUGGGGUGAAGUCGUAACUAAAGGUAA